rnacentral:rRNA from 1 species
CCUGCAAGUCGAACGGCAGCACGGGAGCAAUCCUGGUGGCGAGUGGCGAACGGGUGAGUAAUACAUCGGAACGUGUCCUGGAGUGGGGGAUAGCCCGGCGAAAGCCGGAUUAAUACCGCAUACGCUCUAUGGAGGAAAGCGGGGGAUCUUUCGGGACCUCGCGCUCAAGGGGCGGCCGAUGGCAGAUUAGCUAGUUGGUGGGGUAAAGGCCUACCAAGGCGACGAUCUGUAGCUGGUCUGAGAGGACGACCAGCCACACUGGGACUGAGACACGGCCCAGACUCCUACGGGAGGCAGCAGUGGGGAAUUUUGGACAAUGGGCGCAAGCCUGAUCCAGCAAUGCCGCGUGUGUGAAGAAGGCCUUCGGGUUGUAAAGCACUUUUGUCCGGAAAGAAAACCUCUGGGUUAAUACCCCGGGGGGAUGACGGUACCGGAAGAAUAAGCACCGGCUAACUACGUGCCAGCAGCCGCGGUAAUACGUAGGGUGCGAGCGUUAAUCGGAAUUACUGGGCGUAAAGCGUGCGCAGGCGGUUCGUUAAGACAGAUGUGAAAUCCCCGGGCUUAACCUGGGAACUGCAUUUGUGACUGGCGGGCUAGAGUAUGGCAGAGGGGGGUAGAAUUCCACGUGUAGCAGUGAAAUGCGUAGAGAUGUGGAGGAAUACCGAUGGCGAAGGCAGCCCCCUGGGCCAAUACUGACGCUCAUGCACGAAAGCGUGGGGAGCAAACAGGAUUAGAUACCCUGGUAGUCCACGCCCUAAACGAUGUCAACUAGUUGUUGGGGAUUCAUUUCCUUAGUAACGUAGCUAACGCGUGAAGUUGACCGCCUGGG